AGAGUUUGAUCAUGGCUCAGAACGAACGCUGGCGGCAGGCCUAAUACAUGCAAGUCGAGCGGGCGUAGCAAUACGUCAGCGGCGGACGGGUGAGUAACACGUGGGAACAUGCCCUUCGGUACGGAACAACUCAGGGAAACUUGAGCUAAUACCGUAUGAUCCGGCAACGGCAAAGAUUUAUCGCCGGAGGAUUGGCUCGCGUCCGAUUAGCUAGUUGGUGAGGUAACGGCCCACCAAGGCACCGAUCGGUAGCUGGUUUGAGAGAACGACCAGCCACACUGGGACUGAGACACGGCCCAGACUCCUACGGGAGGCAGCAGUAGGGAAUCUUGGACAAUGGGGGAAACCCUGAUCCAGCCAUGCCGCGUGAGUGAUGAAGGCCUUCGGGUUGUAAAACUCUUUCGGCGGGGACGAUAAUGACGGUACCCGCAGAAGAAGCUCCGGCUAACUUCGUGCCAGCAGCCGCGGUAAUACGAAGGGGGCUAGCGUUGUUCGGAAUUACUGGGCGUAAAGCGCGCGCAGGCGGCCUUUCAAGUCAGGGGUGAAAGCCCGGAGCUCAACUCCGGAAUUGCCUUUGAAACUGUCAGGCUCGAGUACGGGAGAGGUGAGUGGAAUUCCCAGUGUAGAGGUGAAAUUCGUAGAUAUUGGGAAGAACACCGGUGGCGAAGGCGGCUCACUGGCCCGUUUCUGNNNCUCAGGCGCGACAGCGUGGGGAUCAAACAGGAUUAGAUACCCUAGUAGUCC
rnacentral:rRNA from 1 species